CCUACGGGAGGCAGCAGUGGGGAAUAUUGGGCAAUGGGCGCAAGCCUGACCCCGCAACGCCGCGUGAAGGAAGAAGGCUUUCGGGUUGUAAACUUCUUUUCUCAGGGACGAAGCAAGUGACGGUACCUGAGGAAUAAGCCACUGCUAACUACGUGCCAGCAGCCGCGGGAAUACGUAGGUGGCAAGCGUUAUCCGGAUUUACUGGGUGUAAGGGGAGUGUAGGCGGGAAAGCAAGUCAGAUGUGAAAACCAUGGGCUCAACCUGUGGCCUGCAUUUGAAACUGUUUUUCUUGAGUACUGGAGAGGCAGACGGAAGUCCUAGGGUAGCGGUGAAAGGCGUAGAUAUUAGGAGGAACACCAGUGGCGAAGGCGGUCUGCUGGACAGCAACUGACGCUGAGGCGCGAAAGCGUGGGGAGCAAACAGGAUUAGAUACCCUAGUAGUC
rnacentral:rRNA from 1 species